rnacentral:lncRNA from 1 species
GCUGCACCUGUUGAGGUAUACCUGCAGUCUCCGGCACCGGCACCUGUACCUACAGCCAAUCAGCACCAGCGCUGCUGGGAACUUACCUGUCAGCAAAAUCCUGACACCUAAACCUCAACAUAAAUCAAACACUUCCCUGGGAAGGGAAUGUCUGCGUCAAGCAAAAACUAGAGAAAAGUGGUCAUCAGAGCCUCAGUGCAGAUCACCGGAGCCUGGGAGCAGGAAGAUGUCGAAUGAACUUGAUUUCAGGUCUGUGCGGCUGCUAAAGAAUGACCCAGUCAAUUUCCAGAAGUUCCCCUAUGCUAACGAGGAUGAGGCCUGGAAGACAUACCUGGAAAACCCCUUGACAGCUGCUACGAAGGCCAUGAUGAGAGUCAAUGGGGACGACGACAGCGUUGCAGCUCUGAGCUUCCUCUACGAUUACUACAUGGGCCCCAAGGAGAAGCGGAUACUGUCCUCCAGCACUGGGGGCCGGAACGACCAAGGAAAGAGGUUCUACCACGGCAUGGAGUAUGAGACGGAUCUCACACCCCUCGAAAGCCCCACACACCUCAUGAAAUUCCUGACCGAGAACGUGUCUGCAACGCAGGAAUACCCCGAUGUGCUCAAGAAGAACAACCUGAUGAGCCUGGAGGGGACUGUGUCUGCCCCUGCCAAGGCUGCUCCGCUCCCGCUGGGCCCCAGCAAGCUGGAAGCCAGCUCCGUGGACAGCUACCUAUUGCCCACAAGCGACAUAUAUGAUAAUGGCUCCCUCAGCUCCUUAUUUGAGAACAUUCAUGGGGUGCCACCCACGCAGCGCUGGCAGCCAGACAGUACCUUCAAAGAUGACCCACAGGAGGUGAGGGCCCAUUCCCACACCCUCACAGCAUCCCUGGUAAUGUGUGAGUAUGUGCAGAAAGAGAAAAGAUUAGUAAGCUCAGCGUGGAAUCCAUGGGAGAAAGAACUCUAGAGCUGAAGCAGGAUUCCCAUGUACUACUGUCCAAGUUGUUCACUCCACAACCUGAAUAGCUGUAUUUAUAACCCUGGGCUGUGGCUCCUACAGCCUGAAAUGGUGCUUUAAUCUCUUGCGGUUGUGUUUCUCUGCAGUCGCUGCUCUUCCCAGAUAUCCUGAAAACAUCCCCGGAGCCCCCAUGUCUAGAGGACUAUCCUAGCCUCAAGAGGUAACUUGGCCCUCUGGACCCUUGAUCACCUCAGCAGUGGGUGGGGGCUACAGACAGCACUUCCCACU